rnacentral:pre_miRNA from 1 species
UAUAUAAUUCCUCUGUCUAACAAAAGAUAUCUCAAGUUUGUCAAAAAUUGGAUGUAUCUAGACAUGACUCAGUGUAUAGAUGCUUUCAAAUUUGGUCAAAACUGAAACAUCAUUUGUUGAACGGAAGGAGUAUUUA